UGCCAGCCGCCGCGGUAAUACGAAGGGACCUAGCGUAGUUCGGAAUUACUGGGCGUAAAGCGUACGUAGGCGGACUUUUAAGUUAGAUGUGAAAUCCCCGGGCUCAACCCGGGAACUGCAUUUAAAACUGGAAGUCUAGAGUUAUGGAGAGGUAAGUGGAAUUCCUAGUGUAGAGGUGAAAUUCGUAGAUAUUAGGAGGAACACCAGAGGCGAAGGCGGCUCACUGGCUCGAUACUGACGCUGAGGUACGAAAGUGUGGGGAGCAAACAGGAUUAGAUA
rnacentral:rRNA from 1 species